rnacentral:rRNA from 1 species
CGUCAGUAUGGAGACAGACAUUGGGUGCUAACGUCCAGUGUCGAAAGGGAAACAACCCAGACCCUCAGCUAAGGUCCAAAGAUAUAAUUAAGUGGUAAACGAAGUGGAAAGGCAUAAACAGUCAGGAGAUUGGCUUAGAAGCAGCCAUUCUUUAAAGAAAGCGUAAUAGCUCACUGAUCGAGUCUUUCUGCGCGGAAGAUGUAACGGGGCUAAAUUAUACACCGAAGCUAGGGAUUCAUAUAUUUUUGUAUGGAUGGUAGGAGAGCGUUCCGUAGGCCUGUGAAGAUGAUUUGUAAAAAUUGUUGGAGGUAUCGGAAGUGCGAAUGCUGACAUGAGUAGCGAUAAAGGAAGUGAAAAACUUCCUCGCCGAAAACCCAAGGGUUUCCUGCGCAACGUUAAUCGGAGCAGGGUGAGUCGGCCCCUAAGGCGAGGCUAAUUGCGUAGCUGAUGGGAAACUGGUUAAAAUUCCAGUACCUUUAUUUAAUGCGAUGUGGG